AAUUUCAGUAAAUACUGUUUAUUUUUUAAAUUUUGCCAUAAUCUAUACAAUAAAUAUUAACCAAUGAUGGAUCUUUUCUUUACAGAAGGUUACCAAACCAGUUUGCAUUUGUUGACUUCGUUAGUGGAGGCUCCUCCAUAACGAGCUCGUUAAUUUUAGGCCACCUUGCGUGGCUUUGGUUGACACUCAGUGUGUGACAGCUAAUGUGAUGCUCCCUGAAAAGUAUAUCGCAGAGUCUCGCAGAAUUACGAGGAAGGCAACGGAGCUCCGCAGCCCUGCGUUUAACCUUUAUUUAUUUAUCCAUCAUAAAAUGUGGGGCUUCUCCAGUUCCAGACAAUAUCUGAAAACUAGAGUAACAAAGAUUAAGGGGACACACACAGCCUCUAUGCAGACACGCUGACAUACGGAGCUCAGCCCUCUAUGCAGACACACUGAAAUAUGAAGACACCCACAGGCCUCUAUGCAGACACGCUGACAUACGGAGCUCGGCCCUCUAUGCAGACACACUGAAAUAUGAAGACACCCACAGGCCUCUAUGCAGACACGCUGAAAUAUAGAAACACACACAGCUCUCCAUGCGGACAUGCUGAAAUACAGAGCACAGCCCUCUAUGCAGACACACUGAAAUAUAGUCAUUGGCAACUAAAAUACAGUGUGAACACAUCCAACAAAAUGGGCGCACAGGGAGUUAUGACAGGAACUUAUGACAGCAAACGGCACAUGGACCCACAGGUCUGAUGAUCUCUGGCCAUCCCAAAGGUUGGGCCACUCCCUACCAUAUGCACCUCUGCUGAAGCAAGUUGAGAACUGACUCGCCGGGAGGGAGUCGCUGGCCAACGUGAGGCCAGCCUUGUGCACAGAGCGCGCAUGGAAAUGGUGCGGGUUCGCCGUCUCGGGAGUUGGAUACGACUGCCAUCUUUUUAUAAAUGAGAAUUGCAGGAUCAUCGACCAUUGUGUACUCACACAUUUAAAGAUGUGUAAGUCUUAAAUAACCCUUUGGGAAUAUUAAGGAGCUGUCACAGGGGUUCUCAAUUUUGGAUGUGCAUAAAAACACUUCUGUAGUGAUUUUAAAUGAAAGUGCCUGGUCUCAACUAACACCUGCUGAACCAGAAUUGCCACGGUUUGGGUUUGAGAAUCUGUUUUUUUGUUUUUGCUUUUAUAAGUUUCAGAAGCAAAAGUGAGGGUCGCUGGUUUGCAGGUGAUUGAAGGGUUUGGCCACCUGUGGGCCAUGAUGUCAUUGUUGUUGGUGGUGGUAAUGGUGAGGUUGGGGCUGUGAUGUCGUUGUCAUUGGUGGUAGUGAUGGUGAGGUCGGGGCUGUGAUGUCAUUGUCAUUGGUGGUGGUGAUGGUGAGGUCAGGGCUGUAGUGUUGUCAUUGGUGGUGGUGAUGGUGAGGUCGGGGCUGUGAUGUCGUUGUCGGUGGUGGUGGUGAUGGUGAGGUCACUGUAGGAAAGCCCAGCAGAAUGGCCCUGAAGCGUGGGCUCCGUCCCCGAUAUGCCUUCCCAUGAUCUCUUUUCCUAAGGAAAAAUCCGAAUAAAUGAAGGGUGAAGGCAGCCUUGAAAAUGAAGCAAAUUAUAAAGGUAAACUAUAGGCGAAAACUUCAGGGGAGUCUAAACGUUUUAUCUCGAUGAUUAAUGGGUGCCUUGGGUAGCAUUCUCUACAUGUCUUAGGGCAUCAGGAAACAGAACUGCCCUAUUUUUUCUCAGAGAUUUAUUCAUUCAAUGAACAUAUAUUAAGUACCAAGUAUUUCCAGGUCUUAUUCCAGUGAUUGGAAUUCAAUAAUACACUUACUGACAAAUUCCCCUGUGUCUGUAGAACUUACAAUCUGAUGGGUAAUAAAACAGGUCAGUAACAAUAAAAAUUGCAAUAAAUAAGUGGAGUAGGAAUUAAAUGAUAAAAGGUACUAUGUAUGUAAGAAUAAGGGAUCCUGGACACAGUUGUGAGCAAGGCUGCGAGGCUAAGUGUGCAGUCAGGGUGGGCAUCCCUGUGGAGGUGACGUCUGAGCCUCCAUUACACUCAGAUGUGGACAUGAGCUGCCUCGGAAAGGAACAUUCCAGAGAAAGGCACAGCUAGGGUAAGGCUCUGACCUGUGUCCUGCAUGCUCAGUGAAGCUGUUUGGUUCAAGUGGAAUGAAAAUAAGGAGAAUAAAAUUUUUUUUAAGUAUCAGAAUUUGCUCAGAUGCCAUCUCUACAGGUCAUGACCCAGCUCUGGGAGAGCCUUGGCAAUCUGCUUUAACUAGGGAAAUGCUGCAGGGUUUGAGUAGAGAAGGGGUCUGGCCUGACACAGCAGAUAUCUGGCCAGUGUUGAGAAGGGAGUCUGCACAUUCG
rnacentral:lncRNA from 10 species